rnacentral:rRNA from 1 species
GUGUCAGCCGCCGCGGUAAUACGUAGGUGGCAAGCGUUGUCCGGAAUUAUUGGGCGUAAAGCGCGCGCAGGCGGUUAUGUAAGUCUGAUGUUAAAGCCCGGGGCUCAACCCCGGUUCGCAUUGGAAACUGCGUAACUUGAGUGCAGAAGAGGAAAGCGGUAUUCCACGUGUAGCGGUGAAAUGCGUAGAGAUGUGGAGGAACACCAGUGGCGAAGGCGGCUUUCUGGUCUGUAACUGACGCUGAGGCGCGAAAGCGUGGGGAGCAAACAGGAUUAGAUACCCUGGUAGUCCACGCCGUAAACGAUGAGUGCUAGGUGUUGGGGGUUUCAAUACCCUCAGUGCCGCAGCUAACGCAAUAAGCACUCCGCCUGGGGAGUACGCUCGCAAGAGUGAAACUCAAAUGAAUUGACGGGG